rnacentral:rRNA from 1 species
UGGGGAAUAUUGCACAAUGGGGGAAACCCUGAUGCAGCGACGCCGCGUGAGCGAAGAAGGCCUUCGGGUCGUAAAGCUCUUUUAUAUGGGAAGAUAAUGACGGUACCAUAAGAAAAAGCCCCGGCUAACUACGUGCCAGCAGCCGCGGUAAUACGUAGGGGGCUAGCGUUGUCCGGAAUCACUGGGCGUAAAGAGCUUGUAGGCGGUUCGUCGCGUCUGGUGUGAAAGCCCAUCGCUUAACGGUGGGUUUGCGCCGGGUACGGGCGGGCUAGAGUGCAGUAGGGGAGACUGGAAUUCCCGGUGUAACGGUGGAAUGUGUAGAUAUCGGGAAGAACACCAAUGGCGAAGGCAGGUCUCUGGGCUGUUACUGACGCUGAGAAGCGAAAGCGUGGGGAGCGAACAGG